rnacentral:misc_RNA from 1 species
GAAAUGCGAUAAGUAAUGUGAAUUGCAGAUUUCAGUGAACCAUCGAAUCUUUGAACGCACAUUGCGCCCGCCAGUAUUCUGGCGGGCAUGCCUGUUCGAGCGUCAUUUCAACCCUCAAGCCUCUUCGGGGGCUUGGUGUUGGGGGACGGCCCCGCGAUGCCGCGGGUCGCCGCCCCCGAAAUACAGUGGCGGUCUCGCCGCAGCCUCCCCUGCGUAGUAGCAUAAAACCUCGCACCGGAGCGCGGCGCGGCCACGCCGUUAAGCCCCAACUCUCUCUGAAAUGUUGACCUCGGAUCAGGUAGGGAUACCCGCUGAACUUAA